UUUUCUGAGAGUUUGAUUCUGGCUCAGAACGAACGCUGGUAGCGUGGAUUAGGCAUGCAAGUCGAACGGGAUCGCUGAAGUAGCAAUACGGAAGCGUGAGAGUGGCGGAUUGGGGAGGAACACGUGAGCAACCUGCCCUUGAGUUGGGGAAAACCAUUGGAAACGAUGGCUAAUACCGGAUGUG
rnacentral:rRNA from 1 species